ensembl:misc_RNA Y_RNA Y RNA
GGCUGGACCGAAGGUAGGGAGUUCACAGUCAGUACAGAUUGAACUCCUUGUUUUACUCUUUCCCCGCUUCUCACUACUGCACUUGACUAGUUAAAA